CCAGCUGGGUGGGCGGGGCUAAUUGCUGCCUGUCACACAGAGAGCACUGCAUGCCUUCUUUCAGGCUCCACCCCUUGCAGAGAGAAUCUGGAGAUGGGGCUCAUGACCCUGGAGUCUGAAAAAGUGAAGAGCCUGCAUGGAAAAGAUCUGGAGGGCUGGGUGCUGCAGCAGGAAGUGACUGGAUUCAAACUGUUGCCAAUAUGACCAGGCGGAGACUCCCUGCUCCACGGCAAAACCCAUCGACUCUUGGAGAAGAUUGUUUAUGUUUCAGCCUCAGGGAGUUCUGAAAGUGUGGCAUCUGUGGCACGCUGGUACCUCCUGCGCCACCUGCAUGCCAAAGAUGACCUGGAGCUGAUAGAUUCCCUGCUGGUGGUGGCUACAGCAGCAGAAGACCGCAUACUGGUGGAUUUCCACAGAUGACUCUACCCAUCCAACUAAGCUGUUCCACCCAUUCUCAAAUCUCUCAGGAGACAACAUAUUUUCCAAUCUAACAGGCAAAGGGCAGCUUCAGCUGUUCUCUCUUUUGUUCUACUCAUUCUAUCCAUCAGCGGUUUACUCAAUGAUCCACAAUCAGUAUAGAUCCUGGAAUUGUGUUUACAAAUGUAAAAGUCUUUAUAUCACCAAUGAUUUAUUCGUUAUAUAAAAACAUGGAAUACUGUGUGGAUAAAAGAAGCACUUGAUCCAUGUGAAUUACCCUUUGAAUAGCAGUUUAUGGUCAUUUUAGGGUACAAUAUAAUCAGUUUAUGUUCGUUGUCAAACAUAUCACAUGGUCAUUGACUCAUGAAAAAUUACAUUAAUGUUAUGAUUAAUUUCCUGUGCCUUCCCAAUGACGUUCAUUCUUAUACUUAUUAUUGCCAAAAGGCUUGCCAGACUAUAAUUAACUUGAAUUUAUUUGAAAUUGCAAAAGCAUUUCUAGCAAUGAAACAGUGGUCAUUGCAUUGGAUCCAAAAUGACUUUUGUGCAUGUUUGAAAAUACAGGGAAUUAAAGAUUUCAGAUUGUCUGCUUAUUGUCAGAAAAGCAUUUCAAGAGUUGCCUUUGGGCGUCUUUGGUCUACAGAUGCACAAGCAGAAACAAUGGACUUCUGUUUUUAAUAUAACCCCACUGUUAUUUCCUAAUAACUAAUAUCUACCAGCUCUGACCUGUGGUUUACUGAAACAAUCAGUUGUGUCUCUGAAAUUAUGCAGAUGAAAAGAGAAAUGGAGAGGGAAAUAACAACAAUGGUUUAUUGUGUUAGUAUAUGUAUGCUUUGCAAAUACACAAUGCAUUUGUCAUUUGCAAUGGUGACUUGGAAAAUUAAAUGAAAACACACUGUGAUCUUGUUUAUUUAUU